UACGUAUGGAGCAAGCGUUAUCCGGAUUUACUGGGUGUAAAGGGUGCGUAGGCGGCACAGCAAGUCAGAUGUGAAAGACCGGGGCUCAACCCCGGGGCUGCAUUUGAAACUGCCGAGCUUGAGUCCGGGAGAGGCAGGCGGAAUUCCUAGUGUAGCGGUGAAAUGCGUAGAUAUUAGGAGGAACACCAGUGGCGAAGGCGGCCUGCUGGACCGGUACUGACGCUGAGGCACGAAAGCGUGGGGAGCAAACAGG
rnacentral:rRNA from 1 species